rnacentral:rRNA from 1 species
AUCAGAAGGCACACCCGGAGAACUGAAACAUCUUAGUACCCGGAGGAAGAGAAAGAAAAUUCGAUUCCCUUAGUAGCGGCGAGCGAAACGGGAAGAGCCCAAACCAAAAAGCUUGCUUGUUGGGGUUGUAGGACACUCUAUACGGAGUUACAAAGGACGACAUUAGACGAAUCAUCUGGAAAGAUGAAUCAAAGAAGGUAAUAAUCCUGUAGUCGAAAAUGUUGUCUCUCUUGAGUGGAUCCUGAGUACGACGGAGCACGUGAAAUUCCGUCGGAAUCUGGGAGGACCAUCUCCUAAGGCUAAAUACUCUCUAGUGACCGAUAGUGAACCAGUACCGUGAGGGAAAGGUGAAAAGCACCCCGGAAGGAGAGUGAAAUAGAACCUGAAACCGUGUGCUUACAAGUAGUCAGAGCCCGUUAAUGGGUGAUGGCGUGCCUUUUGUAGAAUGAACCGGCGAGUUACGAUUUGAUGCAAGGUUAAGCAGUAAAUGUGGAGCCGUAGCGAAAGCGAGUCUGAAUAGGGCGUUUAGUAUUUGGUCGUAGACCCGAAACCAGGUGAUCUACCCUUGGUCAGGUUGAAGUUCAGGUAACACUGAAUGGAGGACCGAACCGACUUACGUUGAAAAGUGAGCGGAUGAACUGAGGGUAGCGGAGAAAUUCCAAUCGAACCUGGAGAUAGCUGGUUCUCUCCGAAAUAGCUUUAGGGCUAGCCUCAAGUGAUGAUUAUUGGAGGUAGAGCACUGUUUGGACGAGGGGCCCCUCUCGGGUUACCGAAUUCAGACAAACUCCGAAUGCCAAUUAAUUUAACUUGGGAGUCAGAACAUGGGUGAUAAGGUCCGUGUUCGAAAGGGAAACAGCCCAGACCACCAGCUAAGGUCCCAAAAUAUAUGUUAAGUGGAAAAGGAUGUGGCGUUGCCCAGACAACUAGGAUGUUGGCUUAGAAGCAGCCAUCAUUUAAAGAGUGCGUAAUAGCUCACUAGUCGAGUGACACUGCGCCGAAAAUGUACCGGGGCUAAACAUAUUACCGAAGCUGUGGAUUGUCCUUUGGACAAUGGUAGGAGAGCGUUCUAAGGGCGUUGAAGCAUGAUCGUAAGGACAUGUGGAGCGCUUAGAAGUGAGAAUGCCGGUGUGAGUAGCGAAAGACGGGUGAGAAUCCCGUCCACCGAUUGACUAAGGUUUCCAGAGGAAGGCUCGUCCGCUCUGGGUUAGUCGGGUCCUAAGCUGAGGCCGACAGGCGUAGGCGAUGGAUAACAGGUUGAUAUUCCUGUACCACCUAUAAUCGUUUUAAUCGAUGGGGGGACGCAGUAGGAUAGGCGAAGCGUGCGAUUGGAUUGCACGUCUAAGCAGUAAGGCUGAGUAUUAGGCAAAUCCGGUACUCGUUAAGGCUGAGC